rnacentral:rRNA from 1 species
GACGAACGCUGGCGGCGUGCUUAACACAUGCAAGUCGAACGCUGAAGACCUGGCUUUUGUUGGGUUGGAUGAGUGGCGAAAGGGUGAGUAAAACGUGAGUAACCUGCCCUCUUCUUUGGGAUAACGCCCGGAAACGGGUGCUAAUACUGGAUAUUCACUGAUCUUCGCAUGGGGGUUGGUGGAAAGGUUUGUUCUGGUGGGGGAUGGGCUCGCGGCCUAUCAGCUUGUUGGUGGGGUGAUGGCCUACCAAGGCUUUGACGGGUAGCCGGCCUGAGAGGGUGACCGGUCACAUUGGGACUGAGAUACGGCCCAGACUCCUACGGGAGGCAGCAGUGGGGAAUAUUGCACAAUGGGCGAAAGCCUGAUGCAGCGACGCCGCGUGAGGGAUGGAGGCCUUCGGGUUGUAAACCUCUUUCGCUCAUGGUCAAGCCGCAACUGUGGGUUGUGGUGAGGGUAGUGGGUAAAGAAGCGCCGGCUAACUACGUG